ensembl:rRNA 5S_rRNA 5S ribosomal RNA
AGCUACAGCCAUGCCACCCUGAACACGCCCGCUCCCAUCCAGCUUGGAAGCUAAGCAGGGUCAGGACUGGUUAGUACUUGGAUGGGAGGGAGGGCCACAGCUGGAGAGG